CGUUCUGUGGCGUAGUUGGUUAACGCGCCCAGUCUAGCGUAUUGGGAAUCGUGGGUUCGAAGCCUACCAGAACAA
rnacentral:tRNA from 1 species